UACGUAGGGCGCAAGCGUUGUCCGGAAUUAUUGGGCGUAAAGAGCUCGUAGGCGGUCUGUUGCGUCCGCUGUGAAAACCCAGGGCUUAACCCUGGGCUGGCAGUGGAUACGGGCAGACUAGAGGUAGGUAGGGGAGAAUGGAAUUCCCGGUGUAGCGGUGAAAUGCGCAGAUAUCGGGAGGAACACCGGUGGCGAAGGCGGUUCUCUGGGCCUUACCUGACGCUGAGACGCGAAAGCGUGGGGAGCAAACAGG
rnacentral:rRNA from 1 species